UACGGGGGGGGCAAGCGUUGUUCGGAUUUACUGGGCGUAAAGAGCGCGCAGGCGGUCGUUCAAGUCGAGUGUGAAAGCCCCCGGCUCAACUGGGGAGGGUCACUCGAUACUGAUCGACUCGAAGGCAGAAGAGGGAAGCGGAAUUCCCGGUGUAGUGGUGAAAUGCGUAGAUAUCGGGAGGAACACCAGUGGCGAAGGCGGCUUUCUGGUCUGCUCUUGACGCUGAGGCGCGAAAGCUAGGGUAGCAAACGGG
rnacentral:rRNA from 1 species